GGGGUGUGAGGUGACACGUCCAGGUAUUCAAGCGAUUUCCUGUCGGGCUUGCAAGUUCAUGCAUCGUUUCACUUCUGCAGGUAUUGAUCAGUGUACACGGCUGAUAACUUAUAACUUAUAACUUUCCAUUUUGAACUAUCAGAUGUAUAAUAUACAACUCUGUCUUACUUGUCAUUACUAAACUCAUACGCUUGUUUAUAAAUAACAUUUCUG
rnacentral:lncRNA from 1 species